UUAAACUUAGUUAAUAUUAUAAAUAUGUCGAGUUUCAUUAACUAUCCCAACAAAAAGAAAUUACUCCAUUAUGGAGAAAUUAAUAAUGAAAAGAAAAAUAUUAUUCUACAAAAAAGAAAAAAAAAGUAGACAAGACUAAUUCUUAUAUCUUGCUUAUGUUGUUGGAUGAUUAAUAAUCAAUGAAAUGCCUCUAUUUAUAGAAAAUUAUAGUGUUUGCACCCACAAAUGUAUUCUUUGAAGUAGUUGUUGUAACCGUCAACUUGUAACUUCUUCUCCAUCCUUUCACUUGACGGGUGUAAGUUCUGAAGUGAUAAUCAUCACCCAUGAGUUUUUCAAUUUCAUUCAAAAAGCUCCACCAUCAUGGCUAUGAAAUUGUGAUUGCACCCGUGAAAUUCUCUUAUUUCUUUAAAAAUUUAUUUCUUCUCUUGUAUUCUUCUUCUCGUAGAAUUUAUAAGAAAAUAUGCAAUAAUAUGAUAUAUUUAUUGAUAUUUAUUUAAAAUAAUCAAUAUUUAAUAUAUAAAAAUAUAUAAAUAAAUAAAUCAAUCAAGAGCCAAUUAGCUUGUCAUAGUAUUCGACAAAUUAACUUGAGCUAAUGCAAUGGUAUAAAAUUAGUAACUUACUCGAGCUCAACUUUAGCAGGGUCAAUAUCAGUCCUAGGUGCAUUAACGAUCAUAUUGCAAUCAUAUGAUUAUGUUGCUGCACCUAUCUAAAAUAUUGCAGAAUCUUAUUAUUUAGACAAGAAGUUUUACCUAAAAUGAGGGCAUGAGAUGCAAAACACUCGUGUUCUCAUUGCUGCAAAUUUUGUUAUCCUUCCGAAUAUUAAUUAAAAAGCAAUUUUUGAAAAUCUUAAUUGUCCUAUUAUGUGGACAGAGCUACAAACUCAGCAGUGAGAAAAAAAUCAGAGGAGAGUUCUCUACCUCUCUACCUCAUCGAGGUCAUGACAAGGUUUGUGUAUACUUUAUCUUCACUAGAUCUCACUAGUGGAAUUACACUAAAUAGGUUGUUGUAGUUGUUGUUGAGAAUUCUCUACCUUAUAUUGAUAGAAUAUAGAGUAGUACAAUAAAAUAUUUAAUCUUAAAUGUAAUCUACUUCAGGCUAUACCAGCAACAAUUGUAAUCAACGAAAAUUAAAAGGUAUGCAUACAUGCCAUGCUCAUCCUAUUUUGGCCACUAAAGAAUCAUUUUUUCAACCCACAACUCUGUAUACUAUUUCAGGUGUAUCUAGUGGGGGAGCCAAAAAGUUCAUUAAGGGGCUCAAACGUGCACACCCAAACUAGCAGAAGGGGGUUCAACAUAUACAAUAUAUACAUAAAAAAUAAUUUUGACCGUGUAUAAUGCUAGAUCCACCAUUGGGUGUAUCAUUAGCUAUUAUUAGAGUCAGAUCUUAACACAAUUUUCAUAUAGCAUGCAGUCCUUAUCGAUUUCUUGAAUUAACACCGCUACUGAUACCACUAUACUAAUAACCAGUCAAUUAAAAACACAUUACAGUUCUCAGUUCAAAAGUAGAGCUAAAUUUUAUCAGUAAAAUGAAAGAAUUCAACAACAUUUGCACAUAAUUAUAGAAUAGACAGAAAUAGUGAAAUCUAUCCAUAGUUAUUCAUGUAUUUUUAAGAUAAGAAAUUUUCUUGAUAACCUAAUUAUUUUAUUUAGCAUGAAAAGUGAAAGACUAUCAAAACUAAGAAUUUUCAAUAUUAAAAUGAAAGCCUAAAAUUUAGUAUUGCCUGUUGCAAUUUUCGAAGAAUAGGUAAAAAUGUUGGCCAUGGCAGUAGAGGAGGAGCAGCAGGAUAAUCCACACCUAAUGAAGGAAAAUAGCAGCAGCUAUUUAUUUUUUCUUUUAGGUCUUCCUUAGAUAUGAAAUAUAAAAAGGAGACAGAGAACGUUCCCAACAACAUGACAUCUGAAACAAAUUAGAGGAGAAGGAAACAAACAUCAUACCUGAGAGUCUAGUGCUCUUGUUAUCAGAGAGGGAGCCAGCCAAGUAUUAGGGGGUUCUUCUAAAUCUCCUUUGAUGAUAAAUUAUAUUAUUAAUACAUUAUGUAUAUAUUAUAGAUGUUGAACCCCUUCGGUGAGUUUUUCUUCAGUUUUUGAACUUCCUCAGCAGAAAUCCUCGUUCUACCUCUGCUUGCUGCUGUUUGGAUCCAAGAUUAGAGUUAGUGUUUGGAAAGUUUGGGGAAGAAGAAGAGUAGGAAGUUGUAUAAUUGUAUGAGGAGAGAGAUAGACAAAGGGAAAGAUCUGACAUAACAAGGAAAGGGGAGCUCGUGAUUUGCUAAAAAAAAU
rnacentral:lncRNA from 1 species